UUGGUUAAGUUAGAAAGGGCGCACGGUGGAUGCCUUGGCACUAGGAGCCGAAGAAGGACGGGACUAACACCGAUAUGCUUUGGGGAGCUGUACGUAAGCGUUGAUCCAGAGAUUUCCGAAUGGGGGAACCCACUAUCUUUAGUCGGAUAGUAUCCUUACGUGAAUACAUAGCGUGAGGAAGGCAGACCCAGGGAACUGAAACAUCUAAGUACCUGGAGGAAGAGAAAGAAAAAUCGAUUUCCUGAGUAGCGGCGAGCGAAACGGAAAGAGCCCAAACCAAGAAGCUUGCUUCUUGGGGUUGUAGGACACUCUAUACGGAGUUACAAAAGAAAGUUAUAAAUGAAGCGGUCUGGAAAGGCCCGCCAAAGACGGUAACAGCCCGGUAGUUGAAAUGGCUUUCCCUCCAGAGUGGAUCCUGAGUACGGCGGAACACGUGAAAUUCCGUCGGAAUCCGGGAGGACCAUCUCCCAAGGCUAAAUACUCCCUAGUGACCGAUAGUGAACCAGUACCGUGAGGGAAAGGUGAAAAGCACCCCGGAAGGGGAGUGAAACAGUUCCUGAAACCGUGUGCCUACAAGUAGUUAGAGCCCGUUAAUGGGUGAUAGCGUGCCUUUUGUAGAAUGAACCGGCGAGUUACGAUUUGUUGCAAGGUUAAGCGGAAAAAGCGGAGCCGUAGCGAAAGCGAGUCUGAAUAGGGCGCAUAAGUAACAGGUCGUAGACCCGAAACCAGGUGAUCUACCCAUGUCCAGGAUGAAGGUAAGGUAAUACUUACUGGAGGUCCGAACCCACGCACGUUGAAAAGUGCGGGGAUGAGGUGUGGGUAGCGGAGAAAUUCCAAUCGAACUUGGAGAUAGCUGGUUCUCUCCGAAAUAGCUUUAGGGCUAGCCUCGAGGUAAAGAGUCAUGGAGGUAGAGCACUGUUUGGACUAGGGGCCCUUCUCGGGUUACCGAAUUCAGAUAAACUCCGAAUGCCAUGUACUUAUACUCGGGAGUCAGACUGCGAGUGAUAAGAUCCGUAGUCGAAAGGGAAACAGCCCAGACCACCAGUUAAGGUCCCCAAAUAUAUGUUAAGUGGAAAAGGAUGUGGGGUUGCUUAGACAACCAGGAUGUUGGCUUAGAAGCAGCCACCAUUGAAAGAGUGCGUAAUAGCUCACUGGUCGAGUGACCCCGCGCCGAAAAUGUACCGGGGCUAAACAUAUUACCGAAACUGUGGAUGAACCUCUUUAGAGGUUCGUGGUAGGAGAGCGUUCUAAGGGCGGUGAAGUC
rnacentral:rRNA from 1 species